rnacentral:rRNA from 1 species
AUUGAACGCUGGCGGCAGGCCUAACACAUGCAAGUCGAGCGAGCGGAGGACGGGUGAGUAAUGUUUGGGAAACUGCCUGAUGGAGGGGCAUAACUACUGGAAACGGUAGCUAAUACCGCAUAACAUCAGCUGUGCCCAGAUGGGAUUAGCUAGUGGGGGGGGUAAUGGCUCACCUAGGCGACGAUCCCUAGCUGGUCUGAGAGGUGGACCGGCCACACUGGAACUGAGACACGGUCCAGACUCCUACGGGAGGCAGCAGUGGGGAAUAUUGGGCAAUGGGCGAAAGCCUGAUGCAGCAAUGCCGCGUGUGUGAAGAAGGCUUUCGGAUUGUAAAGCACUUUCAGCGGGGAAGCGUUACCCACAGAGGAAGCACCGGCUAACUCCGUGCCAGCAGCCGCGGUAAUUC